CUGGUUGUAACCUGCCUUCUAUCAGAGGAUAUUUUCCUCCAAAUUUGUCCAAACUGGCACAAUCUGUUAAGCUGGCAGACCUUUUGGCGCUAGGAGAUGAUACCCUCUGGGCCUUGCCCGCCUGAGUUCUCUCUCCUAUCUCCACCAGCCACCUGUGGUGGGGAGAGGGGAGGUAUGACCAGCCACACUCCUACUCUGUGUACUUUAAACCUACUGUUCAAAGAGGUUGGUAGAAAAGCCAUUACUGUAUUUUUUCAAUGGAGAUGUAUGUUGCAGUUGUGAUCAGCUUGGGUAUUCUAGAAAAUAUACAUUUGUACCUUGUCAGGGUAGUGCUAAGCAUGCUAACGUCUUGCUUGUUGAAACACAUCUUUCUGUGACUUUGGUAUUUUCUUCUUGAACUCCAGUUAUCGUUGGCAUUUUUUUGCGGCUUUACUCCUAAAUACUUGAACUUGGAAAUUUAGACUGACUGUCUAAGUUUGUAUGACAAGGAAACUUUCAGACUAUCUGGAAAAGGAUUUAUUUAUUGCCGGCCUCCACACCUGGGUGCUGCUGGACUGCUGUUUCUGCUACAUCUGAUAUGAGGAUAUAGAUUCUGACAGACAUCCUUUUUUGCAUGUAUUAAAAGGCACCAUACCUAUUUCCUCCUUAGUCUUCUGAAAUGCAACAGUCAGUGGAAACUAACAAUUCACAGAAUUCACAGAAGAACCUAUCUGCUCUUGGAGCUCACCUGUCAAGCUUUGUUCCCUGUAUGGAUUUGUCCAGGCUGGAAUUUUAAAGUUCUUUCAGCUUGAGGUAAUUGAUAGCCAAUUGGAUAAAGUUAAAAGAUAAAGCUGUAAAUGACAGUCUAAGCCUUAUGCAAAUGUUUGUUCUCGUGGUAUUUUCUGUAUUUUCCCCCUAGGGUUGGAAAAAAAUACCCAAUUUAGCAAUAAAUAAAGUUUUAAAAAUGGGACUGAAGCUACUGCUUCAGCUAUUCAUAUUUUGCAUCUGUGAGCUUCUGCUAAGUAAAACACUGCAAUUGUUGUGACAGAAAGUUGUUUGGCUGAUUUUGGAUCUUAGUGUAUUUUAUAAAAUUUAUUUUAACACUAAUCAACAUAGUUUUGCACAUUCUGCAAGCUGGGUAAACUCAAUUUCUGUUCCAAGUACACUGUCACACCAGUAGUUAUUACAACACGGCUUGCAUGGGUUGAUUUCAGUGGGAUUCCACUUAGUAUGUCUCUCAAAAUUGCAUUAUUUGAUUCUAGGGGAAUAAUCUUGGGACCAAAAUACACGCAUAACAGUAUGCAAUGUUUGGAGCUGUGAUUUUACAUUGCUAACUGGGCUAAGAAAUAUUUCAUCAGAGUAAAUAUGAAUGAAUCAGCAUUUCAGAGAAUCACAGAAUGACCUGGGGUGGAAGACAGCUUAAAAAUCUUCUCGUUCCAACCGCAUUUCCAUAAGCAGAGAUGCCACCCACUAGAUCAAGUUGCACAGGGUCCCACCCAUACUGGCCUUGAAUACUUCCAGACAGGGGACAUCCACAACUUCUCUGGAAAACCUGUUCCAGUGCUUCACUACCCUCUGAAUAAGGAAUUUCUUCAAAACACCUUAUCUAAAUCUCUCUUCUUUUAGUUUAAAGCAGAGAUUAUGUAAUUUUUUUUAUACUCUGAAAAGUAAAAUUCUCUGUAAUUCUCUUAGCUUGGUAGCAAUAUAAAAGCUUAUGUCAAACAGAGGUUUGGUUUUAACUUUGUUCAAAAAGCAAAAUAAAAAGGAAAACUGCUUUCUUUCGUUCUUUUUUUUUUCUCUGUUGGACUUCAUGAACAAAGUAGAAAAAUGUUAUAUAGUCCAAAUAGCUCUAGGCCAGUCAAACCAAAUUUUUACAUCAGAUAAUCCACUUAUCAU